rnacentral:misc_RNA from 1 species
UCGACGUGGUUUCGUGACUACUGGCUGAGCCAACAUCCAGAGGGGAGCUUUGACGGUAGUGCUAAUGGUAACGAUGACGUUGAGGAAUUGUUGCCGGAGAAGUUCGACAUCGGUUUUGAUGAUGAGUUUGGUAAUCUUGUAGCUCAGUUUGAGGAGCUGGUCAUUUUGAAUGAAGAGAAAGAGGAGAAGAAGAAGCCUCUCAAUGGCGUUAAAAUGGAUGUGAACGGGGUACUCAAGGAACUGAGCAUACCAAAAUCACCCAAAGAAAGGAGUGUGAAAUCUCCGGUGAAGCCAGGCAAGUACCAAAUGAAGACAGCCCACUGCGGGAGCCCAAAGGGUGUGGCUCGACGCAAUCACCAAAUUCACCAGCCACGUUGAAAGAUAUGAUGCAUGGUUAAUAAGGGAGCAUUGGGACUGCUUUUGUGUUCAUUGUAGCAACAUCACUAACAUUUACAUUAGUAGAGGAGGUAUCAAUUAGGCUUUG